UGUAAAUCAAGAAGAAAUUAUUGUGCAUCCUAUAUAUAGAGAUCCGGUUCAUGAUUUUGGCUUAUUUCGUUACAAUCCUGAUGCAAUUCAAUUUUUAGACUAUGAGGAGAUUCCACUUGCCCCAGAGGUCGCUUGUGUUGGCUUAGAAAUCAGGGUUGUUGGUAAUGAUAGUGGAGAGAAGGUUUCCAUAUUGGUUGGAACUCUUACUCGUUUGGAUAGGGAU